CGCACACAGCGCGCAGUCCUGGACACAGAAGGACCUGUCGCGCAUCUGCCCCUUCUUCGAACACUACAGGAGAGAAAUCGGUACACGUAACCCUCACCUCUUUUUCAUUUUUUUAUUCACGGACCACGUUUUUUGGAUUGUAUCACUGAGAAAGCGGACGCAGUUGAGAAGAUUUGUCUUUAGCAAUUUCCAGCUACAAAUUGGAGUCUGUCACUUUUCUGCUGAUUGUUAAAUUACUUGCCAUUUGGGAAACUUUCGAUUUUCUAUUCAAGGUAUUUUCUCAUUUGUUUUCAUAGCCUGCAAUAAAAUAAUCCCAUAAUAUAAUUUCUGGAGCAAUGCCUGCAGGUUCCGAUCUAGAACUUGUUUCGCUUGGCUGACUUCUGGAACCAUGUCGAACUGUCGCCUGAGAAGCUACCAUCAGAAAAGCUACUCUGGGAGUCUCGGGCGAGUACAAAUUGGAAAUUGAACAGGUCUGGCCCUGAAACGCCACGGUCAACUUGAAACUCCUUCAGAUUUGCCGAGAGCCACUGUUCGCUGGGCUGGACGUGGCUCUUGGAGGAUCCCCUCUCUCACCCCGCUUUCUCCGAGGGAUGGUACUGGGUCCCCUGCGCUCAGGAGCGACUUGGCGGCUCCUAAAGAAAACGUGUUUCUUGUUUUGGGGGAAAUCGAAAUUAAAGGGAGAUGAGAACCGCACUUUUCUACUUCCUCCUCUGUACGUCGUGCCUGGUGCUCAUUAAUGCCGAGGAACUUCCACAAGAGCUGAUUGAGCGACUGUCCCACAGUGAAAUCAACAGCAUCAGCGACCUCCAGCGGCUCUUGGACAUAGACUUCGUAGGUACGGGAAAUGAAGUCAUCGAGGAGCACAAGCAGAAGCAGCACAAGCAGAACUAUUCCCACACUUACUCGGACCUGAAGAGCUCGCAGGUCCACCGCAGACGCAAGAGGAGUGUGGAGGAGGCCGUGCCGGCGGUGUGUAAGACACGGACGGUGAUCUACGAGAUCCCGCGCAGUCAGGUGGACCCCACCGCUGCCAACUUCCUCAUCUGGCCACCUUGCGUGGAGGUCAAGCGCUGCACGGGAUGCUGCAACACCAGCAACAUGCGCUGCCACCCCUCGCGCAAGCACCACCGCACCGUUAAGGUGGCCAAGGUGGAGUACGUGCGGAGGAAGCCCAAACUCAAGGAGGUGUUUGUUCGGUUAGAGGACCACCUGGAGUGUGUGUGCACGUCGCACCAUCACGUGGUGGAGCAUGCAGACGCAGACACAGGCCACCGCAGGGCCAAGGGUAAGAAAGGAAAACACAGAAAGAGCAGGCUCACCAAGGAGCGUUUGGCCACAUAGCAAAACACUCAAAACAAACCGUAAAAAAAAAAAAAAGAAAAUUGCUGGGCGCGUUGCGUUCUCCGGACUCCAGACGCCUGCAGUGGACGUGAGGUGAGGCCACCCAACGGGAGAGACGCCAGCGAGGGGCGAGGUGGGACAGAAACAGGAAAUCAGAGAGUCCGGAGAACUCACCCUUGACACUUGACCCUUGACCCCACACCACCACCACCAAAAAAAGAGAAAAAAACAAAAACCCGACAACACACAUGAAAGAAAAUGCGGUCUGAUGAGAGACUAAAGUGAAUAAGAAAUACCAAAGGUGCUUUUCUUCCUGCAACCUGAUAUGACUUCAUUCUGCUGGGCCUGGCAGACCUAACCAAUCAAACACUAAUGCAAGCGAUAGUAAUGAUGAUAAUAAUGAUAAUGAUGAUGAUGAUGAUGAUGAAAAUGAUGACGACAUUUGAGUGGAAUGGGAGAGAAGGAGGAUGUGUUUGUUGUGCUGCUACAUGUGUCCAAACCACACAGACUUCACAAAGGACGGACACACACACACUCACACAUACAGACACACACACUCACACACACACAGACACUCUCACAAACUCACACACUCACACACAGAGAGAACUCUCAAUAGACUCUGACUGUAACAAAUGUACAAAAAAGGACAGAAAGAGAACUGAAAAAGAACUGAUACAGAAAGGAUGUAAAAGAAAGAUAUGGCCUUUUUUCAUGGACGCUUCUGCGCAGCCGUAUGGAACUAUGGGACUCCUUUUUAAUGUCCAUAGGCCAUAGGCCAUAUGCUCUCCACCUGCAGCUGCAGAUGGUGUGUGGUGGAGCCCAGCAGAAGAUCUCUCCUCUCCUCUCCUCUCCUCUCCAUUCUGGAGCGCCCCCCUCCCCCUCUCCCGAGGUCUCAUGUUCUCUCCCUGGGACCCCUAAGCGCCGACAUGGACACUCUGGACAGGAGGCACUCACGUGGCCCACUGCAGUGACAGUCGACAAAUAAACUAUUUAUACACACAAGCAUUUGACUCUCCCUUUCUCGCUCUCUUUCUCUCCUUCUCUCCCUCUCUCUGUCCCUCUCUCUCUUUCUCUCUCUCUCUCUCUCUCUCUGUCCCUCUCUCUCUCUCUGUUUCUUUCCACUGUGGAAGCAGAGACAUUGUAAAGUUCUGUGAUUCUCUCUCACCUCUGUUCUGAAAAGAUCUGUAUGUUUAUAUUUUUUAGCUGUUGUUGCCAUCCAUGUUUUUUUUUCCUUCUUUCAUUGAUUAUGAUGAUGUUGCAUAUUACUCCACAGUAUAUCAGAAACGAUCUCAGAACUAGUAGCUCAACUGGCAGGAACAUAUGUGAUGCAGAGGGGACAGGCUGACAGUAAAGGAAGAUGCUUUAUUUUUGUUAAGAAAAUAUAUUACGCUUACUUAUAUUCAAGCAGGAAGUACGUUUUCCUUUUGUUUUGCUUUUUGUCCCCCUUCACUGUGCUGAGAUGUGUGUGUGUUCGACUAGAGAAAACAGCCACUGAUCUGGCUUGGGGAAGUGGAACGAGGGUGAAGGGACAGGAGGAAUGUGUGCACAUGCAUAAACACACACACACACACACACACACACACACACACACACACACACACACACACACACACACACAUACAGUACACAGUUAGCACAGUAAGUCUAAUAUCAAAUACCUGUUGAUAAUUUAAUCUAGCAGGAUCUAGCCUUACAGUGAACACUAAGUUAUAAGUUAGAUGGGUUGCUUAAGGUGGUGAACAGCAUUUAACCCCAGUGACAAGUCUCAAAAGAACCCUCUUCCCUCUGCUCUCUCUUUCUCUCAUACACACACACACACACAUGAAUUCACAUGCCCAAAAACACACACACACACACAUCCACAUAGGGCUAGCUUGUGUGUGUGUGUGUGACCUGAGAGGCAUUGAAUGUUCUACCGGGGAGCCAUGCGAUAUUUCCUAGGGCAUGAUUUUGUCAUGGAGCAAAUCCACAAAUACUCACACGCCACACACAUGACUUACAAACCAUAUGAACUGCAUGAGUCUGCACAUAUCCAUUGAAACAAACAAUGCAGGCCAGUGUAGCUGCCGUGUGGAGUUGGUACUGGCCUAAGGUAUGCUGUGAUGUGACUGUAACUGGUGCUAUAUUUAUACAGGUAGUCAAAUACUCCGUGUAGCUUCACCACUCUGACUGCUCCCAUUCAGAUGUAGCUAGAGGGACCAGGGACCAUUGCUUUAGGAAGACAGUAAUAUUAUCACUAAGCUUUUUUUUUUUCAUUUGCUGAUUUCUUUGUUUGUUUUUUUUCUCUCUUUUGUUUUUAUUUUAUGUUUUGCCCUCCGUUGGUUAACAUCGAUUAUAAUUUAUAUAUUUAUGGUUUCAAUAAUAAAUAUAUUUCAGCUUAUUAAACUUCA